CUCUAGGGUUAAUACCCCUAGACGAUGACAUUAGCUGCAGAAUAAGCACCGGCUAACUCCGUGCCAGCAGCCGCGGUAAUACAGAGGGUGCAAGCGUUAAUCGGAAUUACUGGGCGUAAAGCGAGCGUAGGUGGCUUGAUAAGUCAGAUGUGAAAGCCCCGGGCUUAACCUGGGAACGGCAUCUGAUACUGUUGAGCUAGAGUAGGUGAGAGGAAGGUAGAAUUCCAGGUGUAGCGGUGAAAUGCGUAGAGAUCUGGAGGAAUACCGAUGGCGAAGGCAGCCUUCUGGCAUCAUACUGACACUGAGGCUCGAAAGCGUGGGUAGCAAACAGGAUUAGAUACCCUGGUAGUCCACGCCGUAAACGAUGUC
rnacentral:rRNA from 1 species